CAGCAGCCGCGGUAAUACGUAGGGGGCGAGCGUUGUCCGAAGUUACUGGGCGUAAAGCGCGCGUAGGCGGCUUCUUAAGUCUGAGGUGAAAGGUUCAACGCUUAACGUGAACAGUGCCUUGGAUACUGGGGAGCUUGAGUAUGGGAGAGGGCAGUGGAAUGGCUGGUGUAGCGGUGAAAUGCGUAGAUAUCAGUCGGAACACCCAUGGCGAAGGCAGCUGCCUGGCCUAAUACUGACGCUGAGGUGCGAAAGCGUGGGGAGCGAACGGGAUUAGAUACCCGAGUAGUCCCUGUCUCUUAUA
rnacentral:rRNA from 1 species